GCUGUGGGAAGAUCAGGUGGAAAGGCAUUUUGAGCAGAGGGAACAGCAAGUGCCAAGGUCAGUGUGGCCAGAGCAGGACGUGAGUUCGACUCAGAUGGUGAACUCACGGUUCGUGGGUUUGAGCCCAGCUUCGGAUCCUCUGUCCCCCUCUCUCUCUGCCCUGCUCUCCUCUCUCUCUGGCUCUUUCUCUCUCUCUCUCUUAGAAUAAAGACAUAAACAUUAAAAAAGAAAUGCCAGGUGCUUAUCAAGACCUUUAAAUGCAUUAACUCUUUUAAUCCUCAAGAGAGCAAUCCAGAUGAGGAAACACAGGCUCAGAAGGUUAAACCACUGGCCCAAGAUCACGUAGCUAUGUCUAAAGCUCACUGGGGCUGCUGUUAUCUCCCAGGAGAUAACAGUGAUACAAAGACGAAGCUUGCAUUUCAGUGAGGAAAAUGAGAGGAAAGAAAACUAACAUCCACCAGGUUUUCUGCUUGAGCCAGGCUCCGGGAAGAGCGGGGUUACUAGAGUUCAAAGGCAUUAAGGCACUUCCUCCUCUGGAUAUCCUUAGCACUCUCUUUGUUCCUGUCCUACAUGCUUUCUGUCUCGUGUGCUUGUGGUUUGUGCCCCCAGUCUUAACAGCCAGCCUUUAUUUGGCACCAAAUGGUGUACCAUGUACCAUGUCUAAAACAUGCACUAUGCCCACUUUUAAAUUUUUUAAGUCUAUUUAUUUUGAGAGAGAGAGAGAGCACGAGGGAAGGUCAAAAAGAGAAUCCCAAGUAGGCUGUGCACUGUCACUGCAGAACCUGAUGGGGGGCUUGAACCCACGAACCAUGAAAUCAUGACUUGAGCCGAAUUCAAGAGUCGGACGCUUAACCACCUGAGCCACCCAGGCGCCCCCAUUUAAUUUAUUCUUGCAAUAACUUUAUUGUUUCUGUUCUAGGAAGAGGAAACUAAGGCUCGGAGCUGCCUCAGCAAGGGGUCCAACAAUUGGACCUGAGAACUGACAGCCUAGGAUUUGAAUCCUGGCUGUGCGAUAACUACUAGGCUGUAAACACCACGUCCCACCCUUUCACAAACAGUUCAUGGCUUCUCUGAUAGUAACGGCAUGAUGGUCUGUUUUCCUGCUAAAGCCGGUCCAUAUUAGCACCAGCCUCAUAGGUUAAGAAGAUUAAAUAAGUUAAUCUAGAUCUAGUAUGACUAACCAUCCUGGUUUGCCUGGGGACCCUGGAACCAUCCUGGAAGGGAGACAUUCAGUUUCAAAGCCGGGAAAGUCCUAGGCAAAUCAGGACACGUUGGUAUUCCUACCUGGAUGAGUGCUUGGUGCUAAAUACACGUUCAAUGGACACUAAUCUUUAUUGCUUCUCCUUUCCUCUUUCAUCCAUUUGAUAACAAAAAGGUAGCAAGCACUUACUGUGUGCCUGUCCCAAGAGCUGGGAACACCGUAGGCAGCAUAUGGAGAUACUGUGCAGAGAACCUAGCUUCAGAGGUUCACCAAAAAACCCCACAGAAAACAA
rnacentral:lncRNA from 1 species